rnacentral:rRNA from 1 species
AACGAACGCUGGCGGCAGGCUUAACACAUGCAAGUCGAGCGAAGGCUUCGGCCUUAGCGGCGGACGGGUGAGUAACGCGUGGGAACGUGCCCCUAUCUACGGAAUAGCCCUGGGAAACUGGGAGUAAUGCCGUAUACGCCGAGCCAUAGCGAUAUGGUUUGGGAAAGAUUUAUCGGAGAGGGAUCGGCCCGCGUUGGAUUAGGUAGUUGGUGGGGUAAUGGCCUACCAAGCCGACGAUCCAUAGCUGGUUUGAGAGGAUGAUCAGCCACACUGGGACUGAGACACGGCCCAGACUCCUACGGGAGGCUG